rnacentral:tRNA from 1 species
GGGGCUGUAGCUCAGUGGCAAAGUGCUUGCCUAGCAUGCAUGAGGCACUGGGUUCAAUCCUCAGCACCACA